AAAUACAUUGAGGAUUGACCCAGGUUGCAACAUCAUAAAUAGGAGCAAUGGACUUUAUUGUUGUUUGCCCUCUAAUAAUCCUGACGACCUAUUAAACUUAUUUGUGUAUUUUUCCAGAGUACAAGGUGUAUUACCGCUUUCAAGCUAUCUGGACGGGAUAAUACCCGUC
rnacentral:ncRNA from 1 species